rnacentral:rRNA from 1 species
AUUGAACGCUGGCGGCAGGCCUAACACAUGCAAGUCGAGCGAGAGGCGGACGGGUGAGCAAUGUAUGGGGAUCUGCCUGAUGGAGGGGGAUCACUACUGGAAACGGUAGCUACUACCGCAUACCAUCAGAUGAACCCAUAUGGGAUUAGCUUGUAGGUAAGGUAACGGCUUACCUAGGCGACGAUCCCUAUCUGGUCUGAGAGGAUGAUCAGCCACACUGGUACUGAGACACGGCCCAGACUCCUACGGGAGGCAGCAGUGGUGAAUAUUGCACAAUGGGCGAAAGCCUGAUGCAGCCAUGCCGCGUGUAUGAAGAAGGCCUUCGGGUUGUAAAGUACUGUAAGUCGGGAGGCGUUACCGACAGAAGAAGCACCGGCUAACUCCGUGCCAGCAGCCGCGGUAAUAC